CCUACGGGAGGCAGCAGUGAGGAAUAUUGGUCAAUGGACGAGAGUCUGAACCAGCCAAGUAGCGUGAAGGAUGACUGCCCUAUGGGUUGUAAACUUCUUUUAUAUGGGAAUAAAACGUUCCACGUGUGGGAUUUUGUAUGUACCAUAUGAAUAAGGAUCGGCUAACUCCGUGCCAGCAGCCGCGGUAAUACGGAGGAUCCGAGAGUUAUCCGGAUUUAUUGGGUUUAAAGGGAGCGUAGGUGGGUUGUUAAGUCAGUUGUGAAAGUUUGCGGCUCAACCGUAAGAUUGCAGUUGAUACUGGCAGUCUUGAGUACAGUAGAGGUGAGCGGAAGUCGUGGUGUAGCGGUGAAAUGCUUAGAUAUCACGAAGAACUCCGAUGGCGAAGGCAGUUCACUGGACUGCAACUGACACUGAGGCUCGAAAGUGUGGGUAUCAAACAGGAUUAGAUACCCUUGUAGUC
rnacentral:rRNA from 1 species